UACGUAGGGUGCGAGCGUUGUCCGGAAUUACUGGGCGUAAAGAGCUCGUAGGCGGCUUGUCGCGUUGUUCGUGAAAAUUUACCGCUCAACGGUGAACUUGCGGGCGAUACGGGCAGGCUAGAGUACUGCAGGGGAGACUGGAAUUCCUGGUGUAGCGGUGAAAUGCGCAGAUAUCAGGAGGAACACCGAUGGCGAAGGCAGGUCUCUGGGCAUUAACUGACGCUGAGGAGCGAAAGCAUGGGGAGCGAACAGG
rnacentral:rRNA from 1 species